rnacentral:rRNA from 1 species
CUCAGAAUGAACGCUGGCGGCAUGGCUAAGACAUGCAAGUCGAACGGACCAUAUAAUUGGGUAACCGAAAGUAUGGUUAGUGGCGAAAGGGUGAGGAAUAGAUAGGAACGUACCCUGUGCUCUGGGAUAGCGUCUGAAGCUUCGGCUUCUUCCGAAAGGGGCGGUAAUACCAGAUAAUGUCCUUCGGGACCAAAGAUUUAUCGGCAUUGGAGCGGCCUAUCUCCUAUCAGCUUGUUGGUGAGGUAACGGCUCACCAAGGCAACGACGGGUAGCGGGACUGAGAGGUUGGCCCGCCACAUCGGGACUGAGACACUGCCCGGACCUCCACGGAGGGCUGCAGUAACGGAUAUUGGGCAAUGGGCGAAAGCCUGACCCAGCAAUGCCGCGUGCAGGAUGAAGCCCCUAGGGGUGUAAACUGCUGUCAGGGGUCAGAAAGCUGGUUUCGGCCAGUUGAUCAACCCCAGAGGAAGUCACGGCUAACUUCGUGCCAGCAGCCGCGGUAAUACGAAGGUGGCAAGCGUUAUUCGGAAUCAUUGGGCUUAAAGGGCACGCAGGCGGAACAGUGUGUGUUGUGUGAAAUCCCCCGGCUUAACCGGGGAAUUGCACAGCAAACUGCUGUUCUUGAGGCAGGUAGGGGUGCAUGGAACUCUUGGUGGAGCGGUGGAAUGCGUAGAUAUCAAGAGGAACGCCAGAGGUGAAGACGGUGCACUGGGCCUGUCCUGACGCUGAGGUGCGAAAGCGUGGGGAGCGAACGGGAUUAGAUAC